rnacentral:tRNA from 1 species
UUCUGUGGCUUAGUUGUAUAAAGCACCGGUCUAGAAAAUACGGAGCCGUGGGUUCAAAUCAUACCAGAA